GCUAGCGAUAGGCUUAACACAUGCAAGUCGAGGGGUUUCAUGAUCUUAGCUUGCUAAGGUUGAUGGCGACCGGCGCACGGGUGCGUAACGCGUAUGCAACUUGCCUUACAGAGGGGGAUAACCCGUUGAAAGACGGACUAAAACCGCAUACACUUGUAUUAUUGCAUGAUAUUACAAGGAAAUAUUUAUAGCUGUAAGAUAGGCAUGCGUCCCAUUAGCUGGUUGGUGAGGUAACGGCUCACCAAGGCGACGAUGGCCAGGGGAACUGAGAGGUUUAUCCCCCACACUGGUACUGAUACACCGACCAGACUCCUACGGGAGGCACCAGAGAGGAAUAUUGGUCAAUGGGCGAUAGCCUGAACCAGCCAAGUCGCGUGAAGGAAGACAGUCCUAAAGAUUGUAAACUUCUUUUAUACGGGAAUAACGGGCGAUACGAGUAUUGCAUUGAAUGUACCGUAAGAAUAACCAUCGGCUAACUCCGUGCCAGCAGCCGCGGUAAUACCGAGGAUGCGAGCGUUAUCCGGAUUUAUUGCGUUUAAGGGGUGCGUACCCUGUUCGGUAAGUCAGCGGUGAAACCUGAGCGCUCCUCGUUCAGCCUGCCGCUGAAACUGCCGGGCUUGAGUUCAGUGGCGGCACGCGGAAUUCGAGGUGUAGCGGUGAAAUGCAUAGAUAUCACGAGGAACUCCGAUUGCGAAGGCAGCUUGCCAUACUGCGACUGACACUGAAGCACGAAGGCGUGGGUAUCAAACAGGAUUAGAUACCCUGGUAGUCCACGCAGUAAACGAUGAUUACUAGGAGUUUGCGAUAUACCGUCAAGCUUCCACAGCGAAAGCGUUAAGUAAUCCACCUGGGGAGUACGCCGGCAACGGUGAAACUCAAAGGAAUUGACGGGGGCCCGCACAAGCGGAGGAACAUGUGGUUUAAUUCGAUGAUACGCGAGGAACCUUACCCGGGAUUGAAAUGUAGAUGACGGGUGGUGAAAACCGUCUUCCCUUCGGGGCUUCUAUGUAGGUGCUGCAUGGUUGUCGUCAGCUCGUGCCGUGAGGUGUCGGCUUAAGUGCCAUAACGAGCGCAACCCACAUCGGUAGUUGCUAACAGUUUUCGCUGAGGACUCUACCGAGACUGCCGUCGUAAGGCGCGAGGAAGGUGUGGAUGACGUCAAAUCAGCACGGCCCUUACAUCCGGGGCGACACACGUGUUACAAUGGGAGGGACAAAGGGCAGCUACCGGGCGACCGGAUGCGAAUCUCUAAACCCUUCCCCAGUUCGGAUCGGAGUCUGCAACUCGACUCCGUGAAGCUGGAUUCGCUAGUAAUCGCGCAUCAGCCAUGGCGCGGUGAAUACGUUCCCGGGCCUUGUACACACCGCCCGUCAAGCCAUGGGAGUCGGGGGUACCUGAAGGGCGUAACCGCAAGGGGCGCACUAGGGUAAUACCG
rnacentral:rRNA from 1 species